GAGAAAAAGUUAUUUUCCAUGCCAACAAGCAUCUUUUUUGGAAAAAAAUAAUCUUUUAUGUCAAUCUCAAAUUUUCUUAUUUAUUUUUUCUGAUUUUCUUAUGAUAUAUGGCUUUUGGGCAAGUCCCACUCGAACUCACCAGAGUAACUCGGCUCCGGCCAGUGGCGAAUAUCCGGCCUUAGUCGAUUUCCAAAACACUGUUUUUGAGGGAAGAGGCAAGAGUAAAUAUGUCAAUCUAACACGAUUGUAACCUGGCUCGAUGGAUAAGAUGUUGGCAACUGCAACGCCACGUCCCAGGUAUAAAUCCCUCUACGACCUACCUGAAGAACAUAUUCUUGGUUGUAGUUUGAAUGGUGAUUGUCUGCUCAAAGAGAGAGAGUCUUUCGCGACCAUAGGUAUAAAAUACUUGCGUCUAUUUUUUCUUUUAAUUGAUCAUUAAUGAAAUUUUGUUACUGUAAAUAAUUUUUGAAGUAUAUCUUCACCAAAUUUGCCCACUACUACUGGCAUACACAGAUGGUUACAAAAAUAAGACUUUGAAUCAUGAGCCAAAUGGAUGGCAAUUGCAUUUGCUUCCGUCCAUGAGAAAUGGAGGUGGCCAAAAUGCCACUAAUUAUUCAAAAAAUCUUGUAAAAAAAAUUGCACGCCGGCCUCCAAGGGGGAGUUAUUUCCUUCUUUUCCCACAAGAUGACAUUGUUUCCUUCUUUGACAAGAUGACAUUGUUUGAGUCGGCUUCUAUGUCAAGCCUGCUCUCUUCUUUACCCACGAGAUGACAUUGUCUGAGUCGUCUUCUAUGUCAAGCCUGCUCUGUUCUAGUCUCAGGCUUUGCAGGUCCAAGAGCAGGACCCUUGCCUCCGCCUCACAAGCCUACCAAUCCUAGAUUAUCUUGAAAACUAACAUCAAAAUUGAGUUUCAUCUAAAGGCGACUCUAAGAACACCAUAACCUGGGUCUCAGCCUCAGCCUCAGCCUCAGUCCCCCUGCCCAUGGCAUCUAGCCCAUCUCCUCGACUAAAUUUUACAUAUCUCUAACUCGCUUCUUACCUCGUGGAGGCUAGUAUGGAGAGAAGCAAAUGCUGAAGCAGACCUCCUUGCUAGGGAGGGAGCUUCCAGCAACCCUUCAGAGGGGUUUCCAGCCACUUCUUUGAGCUACUGAACCCUUCACUCUGUCUCCCUCUUGUGUUUUUUGUAAAAUUUUCUCCUGGGAUUUUUUGGGCCCAUGUGGGCUUCUGUAUAGGGCUCCCAGUUGUAAUGGGUAGUCUAUUUACUGGUUGCUUGUAACUUCUUACUAUUAAUACAAUACAGUUAACAUCUUCAAAAAACAAAUUGAGUUUCAUCCGUCCUUACUUUUGGUAGCAUGCCUUCAAUAUAUCUUUUGUUAAUAUUCGUGGACUACUUGCAAUUAGAUGCCAUUUACUUUUAAUCCAAUGAGAUUCCCUGAAACCCUUCUCAGGCUAGAGCCCAUAAUAUAACCAUGGCUCCAACACUGUCUCUUAAACACCUCAUUCCAUGAAAUCUCUUUUUUUCUCAUUCCAAAUAAAUAAUCCACGGAGUCACGAGAAUGCACCUUUUCCAUAGAAGCAGCCAUCUUUUAGGUGAAGGUGGUGCCAUCUACUGCUUCAUCAGAUAAUGGAUCGAGCCCAAGAUAAGCCAUUGAAUUUGGAAGUGUUAGGAGAUGUUCCCAUAUUUUUCCACCAAUUUCACAAUGAAGAAACAGAUGGUUGACAUUCUCGGCUUCAUUCUUGGACAUAAGAGAUCUAUUGGUAAGGAUCAUAACUCAGCUGAUCAGGUGGUCAACAGUUAGGCCUUUGUUCAAUAAAAUUAACCAUCUGAGUGCUUGAAUCCAAACUUUAGACUCUACUGUGGGUGAUUCCUGGUGGAGGGAUAGAAGUUUGUAAAAGAUUUAACUGAGAAUAUAUCUGAGGUGCUACCCCUCCAUAUUAACCUGUAGUCCUUUUCUGGCCCAUCGUAGAAGUCUUGGAUAUCCUGAAAAGUCCCAAAAAAACUUCAAGGCAUUAUCUUUAAGAUAUCUUCUACGCCUCAUCAACCAGACUGCUUCUCUUCCCCAGCCACGAAUUACUUCAGCCAAUGUUUCUUACGAUAGAUCACAAUGACAUAUAGUGUUGGAUAUCUCUUGUUUAGUGCCCCUUAUUCAGCAAACUAUCCUCCCCAAAAUCUGGUUCUCCAUCCAUUGCCAACCAAUGUUUUGUUAUACGUAAUGCCCUACAGCUGCCUAUUAUUAUUUUUACUUCUUGACCAGCCACCCAUCAUCAUCCUUCUCAUAUUUAUGUAUUAUCAGCUUCUAUCAAAGUUGGUCUGUUGGAUCUCCUAGUCUCCACCACCACUUCCCUAACAGAGCUUGGUUAUUUAUUUAAGUUUUCAAGAUCCUAACCCACCCCUGUUCUUUGGAGAGCACACUAUGUCCCACUUAACCAGAUGAUUAUUUCUUUUUUAACUUCCACCCAUUCCACAAAAGUGCCUCAUCUGUUUCUCCAAUUCCCUAAUUACGGACAUUGGCAUUGGGAGUAAAGAUAGAUAUGUAGAUUUGAGAGACAUGCUUUUGUCAGUGCAAUUCUAUCCCCGAUGACAAGAAUCCAGUCUUCGAAGAGUCUGAUUUCCUGGCCACCCUUUCUACGACUCCAUCCCAAGAGGACUUUGGGGGAUUAACUGUACAAAGUGGUAAAGCUAGGUAGGAGCUCUGUAGCAUUUCAACUCCACAUCCUAUUCUUUUGGCUAAGCAUUAUAACAUCUUAUAUUAUAUAUGUUUUCCUUUGUUAACAUCAUCGAUGGGGCUUAUGGACGACACUCCUGCUGAAACUUGGCCUGUUCUCAAAGAAUGCAGGUUGCAUGGGGGCGUUUCGAACUUCUGGAGUGUUAUUAAGAAGAGCCCAAGGUGAUUGCACCAUAUUUGGUGGUUAGCGUGAUGCCCCAAUACUGGGGUCAGCAUCCAUGAUAUAAUCCAUGAUUUGGUGGAUACCCUUCAAGGUCGCUUCUAGUGUACAUAGGGAAGGGAAAGUGGAACACGCUGGACACUUACAAGGGAUUCUUCCCCACUCAAUGGGUGGAGUUGUUUGUGUAAAUUAGGCAUAAAAACAUUCAACUACUGAUGGGUAGUUGGGACUUUUCACUACAAGUGUAAUGAUCUUAGAUGGACACAGAGAAAAGAAAAGUACAUCCAACUGCGAUUCUUUAAGGAAGCAUAGAAGUCUGCCAUGGUAUGGUGUCAAAGGUGCAAAAUCAUGCAUGGCUUUUCACAUCAAUGUGUACACACCACUAGACCACCACCAUGGUGAAAUAAACACUUCAAUUAUGCAGGAAGCUCGCAAUGUCAAAUUCAGCUUAGAGUUUCUCUUAAAAAAAUCGGGUUGACUUGGAUCUCUUGGAAUCAUCUCAAUCAACUUUUUCCGUUUCUG
rnacentral:lncRNA from 1 species